UCCGUCAUGGGGACGUAAAACCUGGGAGGCUGCAAACUGUGGAAGCUGUACGCACAGUGUAGCAGACUAGCGGUUAGAGGAGACCCCUCCCAUGACACAACGCAGCAGCGGGGCCCGAGCACUGAGGGAAGCUGUACCUCCUUGCAAAGGACUAGAGGUUAGAGGAGACCCCCCGCAAACAAAAACAGCA
rnacentral:lncRNA from 1 species